UGGGGGAUAUUGCACAAUGGGGGGAAACCCGUGAUGCAGCGACGCCGCGUGAGUGAAGAAGUAUUUCGGUAUGUAAAGCUCUAUCAGCAGGGAAGAAAAAAGACGGUACCUGACUAAGAAGCCCCGGCUAACUACGUGCC
rnacentral:rRNA from 1 species